rnacentral:rRNA from 1 species
GAUAGCCUACGGGGGGCAGCAGUGAGGAAUAUUGGUCAAUGGGCUUACGCCUGAACCAGCCAAGUCGCGUGAGGGAAGACGGCCCUACGGGUUGUAAACCUCUUUUGUCGGGGAGCAAAGAGAGUCACGUGUGACUCAUUGAGAGUACCCGAAGAAAAAGCAUCGGCUAACUCCGUGCCAGCAGCCGCGGUAAUACGGAGGAUGCGAGCGUUAUCCGGAUUUAUUGGGUUUAAAGGGUGCGCAGGCGGAGGUGCAAGUCAGCGGUCAAAUUGCGGGGCUCAACCCCGUACUGCCGUUGAAACUGC